UUUGUUUGUUUUUGAGACAUGAGCGUCCAGAGUAGAUGCUUGCUUGGGAGGAUGUGGUGGGAAGCAGAUGUUGUUCUGGCCCGGGCAGAGUUGGUUACGGCCUGAAGUCAGGUGGGAGUGGGAGAAGUGGACAGAUUCUUGAGCUGUGUAAUGGAGGAAGAGGCAGGACACAGACUCAGUAUGCGUGUGAAGUGAGGGAGGUGGUGAGGCGGGAACGCAGGUUUUCUGGGUUCUGAAGUUCGGGGUGGUGUCUGCAUUCGUGGUACUGCAGGCGGGAGCAGGCGGGAGCAGGCGGGAGGUUAGGGAGGUGAGUGCAGUCACAGACUCAGAUGUAGUAGAUAUGGUGUGUCGCUUCCCCUGUGUCCAUUUGGCCCUUCCCCCCUCCUCACAGCACACUGCCCCUUCCUCUGCGUGGUCCGUGUCCUUCAGGGGAAGCUGACCCCACCCCCGCUGCGGGAUGGUCUCCCGUGUAGGCGGGUAACCUACCCCUGGCCAAUGGUUAGUCUGACAGCGGUCACGUGAUCAACUUGGCCCAAUGAGAUAGGAGGAGAGGUUUUCUGGGGGCUCCUGGGAAGGCAGCGUCCUUGCUUUCAUCUGAGAACAUCUAGAAGUGACCCUCUGGUCCUCUGGGUGUCGUCCUGUGGGGACGUGCAGCCCCAAAGCAACGUAUCUGUGUCACUGCCAGCCUGAGGACAAUGAGACAAACGGGCAUGCUCGCUGGAGCAGCCCAUUUCCCUACUGUGAGGCCAGCCUGAGUUGUGUGUUCCCUCACUUGCAACUCCAAGCAUCUCAUCAGACAACAGGGGAAGACAGACUGUGGGAGCAGCAUGGCCGGAACUUGUGUUGCUCAUCUGCCUGGCAAGGGCUGUGUCAUCAUGGAUGAUCAGUGAAGAGGGAGCAGCCAGCUAACCCAGCACCCAUGCAAAGCUACCAGUGAUGUGAAAUGACACAGAGAAUAAAACCACAAGAGGAACCAGGAUCAAAGAAUAUGUCAAUCCGAAGGGAAGGCCAGGACCAGAGCAGAGGUAAAGCGACAGCAACAGGCAGGCUAUACUGUCCUGUAGAGCUGCUAAUGCUGAGUGAGAACUUUGGCCCAAAGCUCCCUGACAGCCAAAGCAGAGAGGGAAUGUAUGUCAGUCACAUGACUCUUGUUGUUCAGAAAGGGAUAUCACUACUUUCCCUAUUUCUUUCUUUUCAUGAUAAAAUCUGUUUUCUAAUCAUAUUACCUUAUUUAAACCUUAUAACAAUCUCAUGACUCAGUUGCCAUUAUUAUGCCCAUUUUUAAGAUGUAAAAACUGGGGCUUAAGGCCAUGUACAUCACUGCCUUACAGGCAAACUAAGAAAGUACAUCAGUGGUCCCUGGGUGAGAAAGCCUAAUUGCUCUGGAAGAUCAUCUCUUAGCAGGGAUGUGGGAAAAAAUAAUAAGAGAGAGGCACAUCCAUAUUCAGUGGGAAAACUAAAUAUUAAGUAGAAAAUUCAUUAUCUUUGAGGCCCGAGACAUCCCAAUAGCUCAAGAAUGGGAAAAUCAGAGCUGUCAAGUCCCAGGCGUGAGCUGAACUGGGUUAACCUGGCUUGAAAAUCCUAAACCCACUUCUGCUGUCAGAAAGGCUUGAUCUUAGUAAGAGAAUGGAGGAACAAUCCUGGUUAGCUUGGCCCCUGCCUGUUCCCAGCUUCAGCCCUUCUCGGUGGAAACUCACGAGGCCUCUGAGAACUGCUGCCUUGCCCAUGCUGGGAGUCGGAAGAUGCUCUCCAAGGUGCUGAAUCGAGUGGUGCUUAUUAUUAUUAUUUUUUUUCAGAUUGGCUUCUCUGAGUUACUCCUGGUAACCACACUAGAGUUCUAGCAGGUUGAAUUGCAGACAACCUGCAUGACAAAGUUGAGAAAAUGUGCCAAUCUGUAAAUGUUCAAGUUUAUUAACAGGUAAUGCUAACACUGAGGUAGCAUAGCUGAGUGAUCUUGGGAAAAUUUCUUAAACGUUCUAUGCCUCAGUUUUCUUACCUAUAAAAUAGAAUAAUAAUAAUAACAACCCUAAAAAGAGUUGCUGUGAGAAUCAAAGGGUUUAAAAUGGAUGCCUGGUGAAUAAUAAGUCAUAUAUAUAUAUAUAUAUAUAUAUAUAUAUAUAUGCUUAUUUUUAA